AACGAACGCUGGCGGCAUGCCUAACACAUGCAAGUCGAACGAGACCUUCGGGUCUAGUGGCGCACGGGUGCGUAACGCGUGGGAAUCUGCCCUUGGGUUCGGAAUAACUCGCCGAAAGGCGUGCUAAUACCGGAUGAUGUCGUAAGACCAAAGAUUUAUCGCCCAGGGAUGAGCCCGCGUAAGAUUAGGUAGUUGGUGAGGUAAAGGCUCACCAAGGCGACGAUCCGUAGCUGGUCUGAGAGGAUGAUCAGCCACACUGGAACUGAGACACGGUCCAG
rnacentral:rRNA from 1 species